rnacentral:rRNA from 1 species
GAAUGGCUCAUUAAAUCAGUUAUCGUUUAUUUGAUAGUACCUUUACCUGGAUAACCGUGGUAAUUCUAGAGCUAAUACAUGCUAAAAAUCCCGACUUCGGAAGGGAUGUAUUUAUUAGAUAAAAAACCAAUGCCCUUCGGGGCUCCUUGGUGAUUCAUAAUAACUAAACGAAUCGCAUGGCCUUGCGCCGGCGAUGGUUCAUUCAAAUUUCUGCCCUAUCAACUUUCGAUGGUAGAGUAGUGGUCUACCAUGGUCUCAACGGGUAACGGGGAAUUAGGGUUCUAUUCCGGAGAGGGAGCCUGAGAAACGGCUACCACAUCUAAGGAAGGCAGCAGGCGCGUAAAUUACCCAAUCCUGACUCAGGGAGGUAGUGACAAUAAAUAACAAUACAGGGCUCACAGAGUCUUGUAAUUGGAAUGAGAACAAUUUAAAUCUCUUAACGAGGAUCAAUUAGAGGGCAAGUCUGGUGCCAGCAGCCGCGGUAAUUCCAGCUCCAAUAGCGUAUAUUAAAGUUGUUGCAGUUAAAAAGCUCGUAGUUGGAUUUCUGGGGCGCUGGAUGGGCCCACGCCUCACGGCGUGUGUGUCCCGAUUCUGGCAGCCCCAUCCUCGGGUGGGUCCUGCUUGGCAUUAGGUUGUUGGGCAGGGGAAGCCCGUCGUUUACUGUGAAAAAAUUAGGGUGUUCAAAGCAGGCUUAGGCCGUUGGAUACAUUAGCAUGGAAUAAUGAGAUAGGGCCUUGAUGUUUUAUUUUGUUGGUUUGCACGCCAAAGUAAUGAUUAAUAGGGAUAGUUGGGGGUAUUCGUAUUCAAUUGUCAGAGGUGAAAUUCUUGGAUUUAUGGAAGACGAACUACUGCGAAAGCAUUUACCAAGGAUGUUUUCAUUAAUCAAGAACGAAAGUUAGGGGAUCGAAGAUGAUUAGAUACCAUCGUAGUCUUAACCAUAAACUAUGCCGACUAGGGAUCGGACGGUGGUUUUUUUAUGCCCCGUUCGGCACCUUACGAGAAAUCAAAGUGUUUGGGCUCGGGGGGGAGUAUGGUCGCAAGGCUGAAACUUAAAGAAAUUG